AGAGUUUGAUCCUGGCUCAGGACGAACGCUGGCGGCGUGCUUAACACAUGCAAGUCGAACGGUGAUGGGGGGCUUGCUCCCUUGAUCAGUGGCGAACGGGUGAGUAACACGUGAGUAACCUGCCCCUGACUCUGGGAUAACUGCUGGAAACGGUGGCUAAUACCGGAUAUGAAACUUCCUCGCAUGGGGUUGUUUGGAAAGAUUUUUUGGUUGGGGAUGGGCUCGCGGCCUAUCAGCUUGUUGGUGGGGUGAUGGCUCACCAAGGCGACGACGGGUAGCCGGCCUGAGAGGGCGACCGGCCACACUGGGACUGAGACACGGCCCAGACUCCUACGGGAGGCAGCAGUGGGGAAUAUUGCACAAUGGGCGCAAGCCUGAUGCAGCGACGCCGCGUGAGGGAUGGAGGCCUUCGGGUUGUAAACCUCUUUCAGCAGGGAAGAAGCGUGAGUGACGGUACCUGCAGAAGAAGCGCCGGCUAACUACGUGCCAGCAGCCGCGGUAAUACGUAGGGCGCAAGCGUUGUCCGGAAUUAUUGGGCGUAAAGAGCUCGUAGGCGGUUUGUCGCGUCUGCUGUGAAAACCUGAGGCUCAACCUCGGGCUUGCAGUGGGUACGGGCAGACUAGAGUGCGGUAGGGGUGACUGGAAUUCCUGGUGUAGCGGUGGAAUGCGCGAUAUCAGGAGGAACACCGAUGGCGAAGGCAGGUCACUGGGCCGCAACUGACGCUGAGGAGCGAAAGCAUGGGGAGCGAACAGGAUUAGAUACCCUAGUAGUCC
rnacentral:rRNA from 1 species